GGGGUUCAAGGUCAUCAACUGAAAAACUGCUGCAAGAUUUUAUCUAUUAUUGUAUAUUUGGCCAUUUCAUAACUCAUUAUACAUCUAUCUUAAUUUUAAAAUAUGAUUUUUCAGUAUGAUUAUUACUUUCAUUUAUUCGUGUAAUGUGUGUAGGGAGGUUCAACACUCACACAUUAACAUAAGUCUCCUAUCUCUUAUUUUUUUUUAUGUGAGACUUCAUUUGUAC
rnacentral:lncRNA from 1 species